UUGCAAUAAACUCGAAUUAUAUGUGUAUCCUACAGAAAAUGCAGUAUUAAUGCUAAAAAGUGAUUUGUCCUGCAUCAUCACUAUGUUGUAUUCGUUUAAAAAAACGGCGCCAAGAAAGAAAGGACAUGCGCAUUGUUCUCCUCCUGAGCCAGUUAACGUAGAGCUGGUACAUUGCUGUCUUCACUGGAGUGCUGCAAGCUCGAAGUGUGAUCCUGAGUAGCUGUUAUUCAACAUAAACACAUUUCCGCACACAUGAAGAUGGAUGACGAUAGUUCAUCUUAAAAUGAAACUUAUGUUUAUCAGCUUACCCCCAGGCCAUCCAAGAGAUGCUCUUAAGAACAACGCCCUGAUGUCCAAGGUCAACCAGCAAGAAGCUGAGAAGGCACUGCCAAAAUGGUUUACUGGGGCAAGGGACAGAGGAGGACAGAGAGCAUCAAGAAUGCAGAAAAGGAUGUCUGUUUGAGAAAGGUUAAAACUACAGUUGUUGAUUUGAACUGUUGUAGUUCUUUAAUUUUUCUUAAAGGAAAACACAAUCAUUUUUCAAUAUUUACCAUGUUCUUCCCUCAACUUAGAUGAAUUAAUACAAACCUCUCUUUUCUCAAUGUGUGCACUUAAAGGUGGGGUGCACAAUUUCUAAAAAAAAAAACGUUUUGGAAAAGGGAGACAGGCCGACUAUCAAAACACACUUGUAGCCAAUUAGCAGCAUGUCUACUAAAUGACAUCGUUGCCUGGGUUGCGUAUGUGUGGGGCGGGUCUAUCAAAAGAAGGUCCAGAUUCUAUUAGGGUAAGGGU